rnacentral:rRNA from 1 species
GGGCGGUCCAUCCUUUGGGUGGUACUGCUCUGGCUGGGGUUUACCUUUCUGGUGAGCCGCCAUGCUCUUUGUUGGGUGUGGCGGGGAACCAGGACUUUUACCUUGAAAAAAUUAGAGUGUUUAAAGCAGGCCAAAUGCUUGAAUACAUUAGCAUGGAAUAAUGGAAUAGGACCUCGGUUCUAUUUUGUUGGUUUCUAGGACCGAAGUAAUGAUUAAUAGGAAUAGUUGGGGGCAUUAGUAUUUAGUAGCUAGAGGUGAAAUUCUUGGAUUUACGAAAGACUAACUUCUGCGAAAGCAUUUGUCAAGGAUGUUUUCAUUAAUCAAGAACGAAAGUUAGGGGAUCGAAGACGAUCAGAUACCGUCGUAGUCUUAACCAUAAACUAUGCCGACUAGGGAUCAGACUGUCGUUAAUUUACUGACGCGUUUGGCACCUUAUGAGAAAUCAAAGUUUUUGGGUUCCGGGGGGAGUAUGGUCGCAAGGCUGAAACUUAAAGGAAUUGACGGAAGGGCACCACCAGGAGUGGAGCCUGCGGCUUAAUUUGACUCAACACGGGGAAACUCACCAGGUCCAGACAUAGUAAGGAUUGACAGAUUGAGAGCUCUUUCUUGAUUCUAUGGGUGGUGGUGCAUGGCCGUUCUUAGUUGGUGGAGUGAUUUGUCUGCUUAAUUGCGUUAACGAACGAGACCUUAACCUGCUAAAUAGUUAUGCCAACAAAAGUUGGUAGCCAACUUCUUAGAGGGACUGUCGGCAUCAAGCCGACGGAAGUUUGAGGCAAUAACAGGUCUGUUAUGCCCUUAGAUGUCCUGGGCCGCACGCGCGCUACACUGAUGAAGUCAACGA